GAUGGCGACCGGCGCACGGGUGAGUAACACGUAUCCAACCUGCCGAUAACUCGGGGAUAGCCUUUCGAAAGAAAGAUUAAUACCCGAUGGUAUAAUUAGACCGCAUGGUCUUGUUAUUAAAGAAUUUCGGUUAUCGAUGGGGAUGCGUUCCAUUAGAUAGUAGGCGGGGUAACGGCCCACCUAGUCUUCGAUGGAUAGGGGUUCUGAGAGGAAGGUCCCCCACAUUGGAACUGAGACACGGUCCAA
rnacentral:rRNA from 1 species